AGGGGAAGCAGCGGGCAAGGAGGAGCAGGUCGUACAGAGCCUCGACGACCAGUUCGCCCCAGCUCGCCGGUGUCCCGCGGCUCUUGUCAGAGUGAGAGCUGAGCCGGGGGCCCGGCAGAGCUCCUCCGUCCCUGGAGCAUCUCUGGGCCUUACUGUCUUGUGAAGACCGCGGGCAGCUACCCCUGCCUGAAGCCACCCGCGGUGUCUCACUGAGAGCCCUGUGACAGAAGGGAGAUACCGAAAAUCCGACCUCCCUGCCUCCCUCCCUCCUGUGCUGCGGACGGACCAGAUGCCCUUCCCGUACCGCGCUGCAGAGACGCCUUGAAGGCUUUUAGGGCCAAACCCGGCCUUUUCCUUUGGGCUAGUUCUGGUUUGUUUCUUGGGGUACAGUUCUGACAGAUUUGACCUGCUUCUCAUUGCCAUAGAAACACACAGAAGAUUUCUUCAGGAAUAAAACAACCAAAAUAAACAGUACUUUAAAUGUGUAGUGUAAAUGUUGUUGUAGAUGUC
rnacentral:lncRNA from 1 species